rnacentral:rRNA from 1 species
GAUGAACGCUGGCGGCGUGCCUAAUACAUGCAAGUCGAGCGAACGGACGCGAAGCUUGCUUCUCUGAUGUUAGCGGCGGACGGGUGAGUAACACGUGGAUAACCUACCUCUAAGACUGGGAUAACUUCGGGAAACCGGAGCUAAUACCGGAUAAUAUUUUGAACCGCAUGGUUCAAAAGUGAAAGACGGUCUUGCUGUCACUUAUAGAUGGAUCCGCGCUGCAUUAGCUAGUUGGUAAGGUAACGGCUUACCAAGGCAACGAUGCAUAGCCGACCUGAGAGGGUGAUCGGCCACACUGGAACUGAGACACGGUCCAGACUCCUACGGGAGGCAGCAGUAGGGAAUCUUCCGCAAUGGGCGAAAGCCUGACGGAGCAACGCCGCGUGAGUGAUGAAGGUCUUCGGAUCGUAAAACUCUGUUAUUAGGGAAGAACAUAUGUGUAAGUAACUGUGCACAUCUUGACGGUACCUAAUCAGAAAGCCACGGCUAACUACGUG